CUGCUGUGAUGAGACUCAGAACUUGUUGAAAGUUUGACACCUUGAUGAAACCGUCAACAGUAAUGUUGACCCUGAGCGGUUACCUGAGCAG
rfam:Solanum tuberosum cultivar DM 1-3 516 R44 scf00152_9, whole genome shotgun sequence.